UGGAGUUGAACCAGGGACCUUUGGACAACAGCGUUUCAGGAACUUCUUACAGUCAUGUGCUCUACCAACUGAGCUAUGAAGGUGCUUAUAGAUGAAAACGCAGAAAACAUAGUGGCUUCGGCGACACACUUUGCCAACACAACAAUCAAGCCAGAUGGUCAAUGAAAAAGGUUGAACAGUGCAUAAAUCAAUGAAAUCUGGUGUUUGGAGCAGGAGUUGAACCAGCGACCUUUGGACCACAGCAUUUCAGGAACUUCUUAAAGUCAUGUGCUCUACCACCUGAGCUAUGAAGGUCCUUUUAGAUAAAAACGCAGAAAACAUAGUGGCUUCGGCGACACACUUUGCCAAAACAACAAUCAAGCCACCUGGUCAAUGAAAAAGGUUGAACAGUGCAUAUACAAAUGACAACUGGAUGCUUGGAGCUGGAGUUGAACCAGCGACCUUUGGACCACAGCGUUUCAGGAACUUCUUAAAGUGAUGUGCUCUACCAACUGAGCUAUGAAGGUGCUUAUAGACACAAACGCAGAAAACAUAGUGGCUUCGGCGACACACUUUGCCAACAAUACAAUUGGACCCACAUGGUCAAUGAAAAAGGUUGAACAGUGCAUACACCAAUGAAAUCUGGUGUUUGGAGCUGGAGUUGAACCAGCGUCCUUUGGACAACAGCGUUUAAGGAACUUCUUAAAGUCAUGUGCUCUACCAACUGAGCUAUGAAGGUGCUUAUAGAUAAAAACGCAGAAAACAUAGUGGCUUCGGCGACACACUUUGCCAAAACAACAAUCAAGCCACCUGGUCAAUGAAAAAGGAUGAACAGUGCAUAUACAAAUGAAAUCUGGUGCUUGGAGCUGGAGUUGAACCAGGGACCUUUGGACCACAGCGUUUCAGGAACUUCUUAAAGUCAUGUGCUCUACCAACUGAGCUAUGAAGGUGCUUACAGAUAAAAACGCAGAAAACAUAGUGGCUUCGGCGACACACUUUGCCAACAUAACUAUUGAACCAACAUGGUCAAUGAUAAAGGUUGAACAGUGCAUACACCAAUGAAAUCUGGUGUUUGGAGCUGGAGUUGAACCAGCGUCCUUUGGACCACAGCGUUUAAGGAACUUCUUAAAGUCAUGUGCUCUACCAACUGAGCUAUGAAGGUGCUUAUAGAUAAAAACGCAGAAAACAUAGUGGCUUCGGCGACACACUUUGCCAACAAUACAAUUGGACCCACCUGGUCAAUGAAAAAGGUUGAACAGUGCUUAGACAAAUGAAAUCUGGUGUUUGGAGCAGGAGUUGAACCAGCGACCUUUGGACCACAGCGUUUCAGGAACUUCUUAAAGUCAUGUGCUCUACCAACUGAGCUAUGAAGGUGCUUAUAGAUAAAAACGCAGAAAACAUAGUGGCUUCGGCGACACACUUUGCCAAAACAACAAUCAAGCCACCUGGUCAAUGAAAAAGGAUGAACAGUGCAUAUACAAAUGAAAUCUGGUGCUUGGAGCUGGAGUUGAACAAGCGACCUUUGGACCACAGCGUUUCAGGAACGUCUUACAGUCAUGUGCUCUACCAACUGAGCUAUGAAGGUGCUUAUAGAUGAAAACGCAGAAAACAUAGUGGCUUCGGCGACACACUUUGCCAACACAACAAUCAAGCCACCUGGUCAAUGAAAAAGGUUGAACAGUGCAUAGACCAAUGAAAUCUGGUGUUUGGAGCAGGAGUUGAACAAGCGACCUUUGGACCACAGCGUUUCAGGAACUUCUUAAAGUCAUGUGCUCUACCAACUGAGCUAUGAAGGUGCUUAUAGAUAAAAACGCAGAAAACAUAGUGGCUUCGGCGACACACUUUGCCAAAACAACAAUCAAGCCACCUGGUCAAUGAAAAAGGAUGAACAGUGCAUAGACCAAUGAAAUUUGGUGUUUGGAGCAGGAGUUGAACCAGCGACAUUUGGACCACAGCGUUUCGGGAACUUCUUAAAGUCAUGUGCUCUACCAACUGAGCUAUGAAGGUGCUUAUAGAUAAAAACGCAGAAAACAUAGUGGCUUCGGCGACACACUUUGCCAAAACAACAAUCAAGCCACCUGGUCAAUGAAAAAGGAUGAACAGUGCAUGUACAAAUGAAAUCUGGUGCUUGGAGCUGGAGUUGAACCAGCGACCUUUGGACCACAGCGUUUUAGGAACUUCUUAAAGUCAUGUGCUCUACCAACUGAGCUAUGAAGGUGCUUAUAGAUAAAAACGCAGAAAACAUAGUGGCUUCGGCGACACACUUUGCCAACAUAACUAUUGAACCCACAUGGUCAAUGAAAAAGGUUGAACAGUGCAUAGACCAAUGAUAUCUGAUGUUUGGAGCAGGAGUUGAACCAGCGACCUUUGGACCACAGCGUUUCAGGAACUUCUUAAAGUCAUGUGCUCUACCAACUGAGCUAUGAAGGUGCUUAUAGACACAAACGCAGAAAACAUAGUGGCUUCGGCGACACACUUUGCCAACAAUACAAUUGGACCCACAUGGUCAAUGAAAAAGGUUGAACAGUGCAUAGACCAAUG